UCAAUUGUUCUUUUUCUGUAUUCUCAAAAUUAAACAUGAAUCUUUUUAAUUUCAGCUAUCUUGUGCUCCUCUCUUGAGCCCCUUCAUCUUCUUUUAAGACACAGGUGUGACUUGGAAUGUAAGAAUGGCCCACCUGGAACUUACCUUCUCACUGCUAUAAAGAAUGUGACAUCUCUAGAAUGCUUGCUGAAACAUGGAGCUGACCCUGGUUUACUGGUUACUCAUGGGUUGAACCCAGAAACUCUAGUUACAGCCUUAUUUAAAAGUCAGCCCCAGCAAGAUCAUGUUAUUAAAAUUCUCAAGAUGUUACGUCGGUAUGGAAUUACAUCUUCUGCUUUCAGACAGGCUGCUCACACUUCAUGUAUUCGUAGUAGAGAGCUGUUUAGUAGUUUACAUGAUGAAACAAUUUGGACUGAUUUAUUACUUGAAUUGGAUUCGCCCAAUACUCUAGCAGAAAUUUGUAGGUUUCAUGUCCGGGACAUGAUGUUCCAGAUCUAUGGACCAAGCUUCCAUGAACAGUUUAAAAAACUGAUGAUACCCAUUCCAGUGAUCCAAUUUCUCACCCAUGCAGAUGGAAUUUAAUUGUACCUAUUUUUGCUUGUUUGUAUUUAUGUGAAAUAAAAAUAUUUGUUCACUGUGUUUAUAAAUUC